AGUCAUUGUUAUAUUAUAUGCUACUCCUUUUUGAAAAAAGUCAUGGUUGAGUUUUUGCUGAGCGUCCGCACGUCUGUUCAAUCAUAUUGGCGUCAAUUCUUACUGGCAUUGUUAGAGUGCAUAUCAAGAUUAGUCGCAAGGUUGAUGAGGUCGCAUCCCUGAAAUUUGAGGUCCUUGAAAGAUUAGGUUUGUGCAAGUACUUAUUUUGCAAAAUCGCAUGGGCCCUUUGAUUUUUCCCCCUUUGUUUUACGUUUUGUACAGAUAAAUGGAGCAAAUUGUAUACUUGCUCCCUCGGUUAAACCCCAGCAAGGAGCAGUUCCAAAUUGGUUAGAUUGAAAUUUGUUUCAUGUACCUCUUUUUUUUUUCAUCUCUGAAUGAAAAUUUGAGGUUUGAGCACUCGCACUCUCUAUUGGGACGCAUAAGAAAGACACAGAAAGAAUAAUUCGAGCAAAAUAAAAUGACCAAAUAGCCCUUAAGGUUUUAGGAGUAUUUUUUCAUUUUGUUUCAACUCAUUCCCAUGUAUAUAAAAAGCAUAAAAUUCAAAUACACAACAAGUUCUUAACCGUCCGAUGAUUAGAAAGCUGGGAUGGACAGUCUUUUAAGUGAACUACAACGUGUAUUAUUUGCUCGUUUUGAAAAUGUUAUCUUUAUCUU
rnacentral:lncRNA from 1 species